AACGAACGCUGGCGGCAUGCCUAACACAUGCAAGUCGAACGAGACCUUCGGGUCUAGUGGCGCACGGGUGCGUAACGCGUGGGAAUCUGCCCUUAGGUUCGGAAUAACAGUUAGAAAUGACUGCUAAUACCGGAUGAUGACUUCGGUCCAAAGAUUUAUCGCCUGAGGAUGAGCCCGCGUAGGAUUAGCUUGUUGGUGAGGUAAAGGCUCACCAAGGCGACGAUCCUUAGCUGGUCUGAGAGGAUGAUCAGCCACACUGGGACUGAGACACGGCCCAGACUCCUACGGGAGGCAGCAGUGGGGAAUAUUGGACAGUGGGCGCAAGCCUGAUCCAGCAAUGCCGCGUGAGUGAUGAAGGCCUUAGGGUUGUAAAGCUCUUUUACCCGGGAUGAUAAUGACCGUACCGGGAGAAUAAGCUCCGGCUAACUCCGUGCCAGCAGCCGCGGUAAUACGGAGGGAGCUAGCGUUGUUCGGAAUUACUGGGCGU
rnacentral:rRNA from 1 species